GGGAGUUAUUUAUAUGAUCAAAUCAUUUUUAUUAAAAGCUUAGCUCUAUUUUCACAUACUGGUAACACUACUGUUGGUAAUGGAUUGUUCUCUCUUUUUCCACAAUUAGAGAUUUUGUGAAUGAUGAUGCUGCAAUAGGAAAGGGAAAUAAAGGCUCUUUUAUUGAUGUUUGGAAUGGUUUUAGCUCUAUCUCUUCUGCUUGAUCUCUUCUCUCUCAGCUCAGAUCCUUAUCACCACCCUUUCCGCAUUCUCCAGAUUUUAUGUGUUUUUUGGUGGUGCAUAUUAAUUAAAUAAAUGGUGGAAGAGCUCAACAUUAAGACGAUGAUCUUCACACCGUCGCAAGAAUAUCCAGACCUUGCUAAUUGUUUCUGUUGCAGCUGACAAAUAUGUUUUAAGAGGAGAUCGAACUUACAAAGGGGCUUCUAUUAUCUUUGAGGAGGCAUGAUCUUUAAGUUGCAAUUGCGGGAAUAUUGAAGGCAAUUAAUGACAUUCCAGUUCUACUCAAGCCAUACUCAGCUUCAAAAUUUGAUGGUCAUAUACUCAUAUAUACCAGUCUUGUGAUGCAAAACUUAAACUUUGAUUUGAUAUUGAAGCUGUUUCGUAUUGUAUAUUAUCCUUUUCAUAGUUUAGGUUUUUGACAUGUCAUUUGGAUUUGGCACUGCCGAGAGGGCUAAACAAGCUAUUCAUCAGCUCAUGUUAAAUCAGAAAGCAUUGAGAAUGGUAUCAGUGUGGUCUAAGUUAACGGGCCACUACAAUGGUUCAUCUGUUCUUUACUUCUAUCUAAACAAACCUUAGGCAUCCUUAAGUGAUCACCAUUGGUCAAUCCAGGUUGCUAACUGGGGCACAGCCAUCUGAGUCAUGUUUUUAAUUUGAAAUCAUUGGGAAAAGACUGAAAGAAAAUGGGCACAUGGUUAUGUUAAUAGUUGAAGGUACUUCUUUCUGAAAGCAUGCAUACAAAAGACCAGCAGGAUGCUACUCCAGCAUGUGAGUACGUGUAUAUCUCAGAAGAUGAAGGAUGAGAUUGAACUCGGAAAGGGGCCUCUGUGAUUUUUUAGUAAAUGAGGAGCCAUGGUCUUUAAGUUGCAAUUUCAGGAACAUCGAAUGAUGAGGACAUGCCAGUACUGUUCACGCCAUACUCGACUUCUGAAAUUUGAUGAAGGCUCAACAAGAUAUUCAUGCAGCCCAUAUUAACUCAAAAGGCAUUGAGAAUGGUAUCAGUCGUCGAGUUAAUGGGCCACUUCAGUGGGAAAACGUUGGGCUUCUGAUCCCCUACUCCUUUGCAAAUCUGCCUCCAACAAUGCGUGUGCAAAAAUCCACUCAAACUUCAUGGAAGGUUGAUAGAAGAUGCCCUUAAAAACUGACUAUGGCAAACAGAAUUGCGAGGCAGCAAUACCAGAUGCUUGGAUGCGGCGAAUCAAAGAUCAGUUCAUCAAGGCUUAUUUAUUUCUCCCUGCCAAAAGAAACAAUACCCACAUAUAUAGAAAGUUUGGCAAGAACUUGGGGAUAUAAGCAAAGAUCCUAAACAGCCAAUGAAUUUGAACCUAAUGGAGAAGCACAGUUUUAUAUUGGUGAAAAUUGUUGAGCAAGGAUGCACUUUAGAUAGCCACGUCUUACAUUCUGGUGCAAGAUAUAUUUGGUAACCUUCAUUGGCUGCAAAGCUUGAUCAGUUAGAAUAACAAAGCUCCCUUCCUCUCUGCCCAUUAUAUCCUAAAUCUGUUCUAUAAAAUAAUCCUAUCAAUUGAACUUCAUUAUUUGUAUUCUUGAAUUGAAUGUGAAUGGUAAACAGUUUUGAAAUUGGAACUAUUUCCU